ACUCACUAUCCAUAAUAUUUACAAAAAAUUCUAAGUAAAUAUGAAAAUAAAUCUUAAAUCUAAGCUAAGAACUAAGAAAACCAAUACAAGAAAGGUAGGAAAUAAGGAAGAAAGGAAGAAAACUCCAAAUCUAGUUCAGAAAUGGAGGUUUUUGCUCUGUUUUUCUCACUCUUCCCCUGCUGCUGCUCUUUUCUUCCUUCUUUUUCCUCUCCUUUCUGAAAUGAGAUAAGGACAUAUUUAUA
rnacentral:misc_RNA from 1 species